UUCUUAUCACUAAAUAAAUAACAUUUACAAAACAAAUAAUUACAUAAAUCACUUAAAACUAGCUUAAAAUAAAAUAGAUCAAUAUUACAGUGACCUUGCUAAUGGUUCGUUUAUCGGUCGCGCGGGACCCUAAGCAGCUUUCUCUUCAAUCCUUUGCGUCUGGGCAUUGGUCAAAAACAUCGUAUGAUUUUAAUGGGCGGCGCCUAAAGCCGUUGGACCUUUAAAAAUCGUCGGCCAGGGCACGUCUCCCCGGCUUCAUUUCGACAAACCAACUUGAAAAGUACGGCCGCGUACCUGCCUAUCGCCGCCGCGCCGAUUACAUUUCAAAUAACUUAUAAUAUUUAGUGCAAAUGCAAUAAAUACAGAUUGCAAAGUACAAAUUUCUGCAAGUACAAGUUAUUACGCCAUAUUUCAUAAAUAAGUACGAUAAAACUGUGUAGUGAAUACAUCCCCGAUAGGGGAUCGAAUUUCGGGACUAACGCGGAGGCAAACGCGUACCAUCUGCGGCUCAAGACCCAGGGCGCCUACAGCUGACAGCGACUACGUCCAGCACCUACGGCCACCAUCUACCUUCGGUCGCCCUCGCCAGGGAAGUCACGGACCGCGAAAGCAUACCCACAGUCGGGCAUCCGAACCCCGCCCUCAUAUUUUUGUAAAAGGAUCGAAUUUCGGGACUAACGCGGAGGCAAACGCGUACCAUCUGCGGCUCAAGACCCAGGGCGCCUACAGCUGACAGCGACUACGUCCAGCACCUACGGCCACCAUCUACCUUCGGUCGCCCUCGCCAGGGAAGUCACGGACCGCAAAAGCAUACCCACAGUCGGGCA